CCUCCAGGGUGCCGCUGUGGCAGAUGGGCGAGAUGGCCAGCAUGCCGUUCUGGAACUCCGCGAAGGCUGCGUGCUUCUCGGACUGUGUAACGGAGCAAGGCCGGGUAACGGAGGCAGAAGCUGAUGAAGUUCUGUAGGAGCUCGUGAAGGCUGCGUGCUUCUCCGACUGUGUAACGGAGCAAGGUGGAUGCUGGAAUGAGCUGGAGAGAAUGAGCGGCCUUGUGUGGUGAGCCGGUUCCUGAGCAGCGUUGCGUGUUUGAUACAACCUUGGAUAAUUUGGGAAGAAUGAAUCCCAAUUGGAAGUGUGUGUGGGUUUCAACCAGAUUGGCCUGUUCAAAAGUCUAUUUCCACAGUGGAAGGAGGCAGGGGCUGUGAGUGAGAUCAAGGACCACUGCGGUUGAAGAACAGCAACUGCUAUGAACUUGACUGAACGUGUGCAGACAGAGAGCAGAAGAGGUGACUGCAGAGCCUCUGGCAGACCAGAAAAUGAGACGGGAGGUCAUGGCGCAGGAAGAGGCUACUUGCUGGAUGCCAUGGCAUGGACUUCUCCAUAGAGAAGGAACUGAGCUACUGACCAGCCUUCUGUAAUGGAAGAAUUCUGUCCAUCAGUCUUCAAAGGACUGAAUGUCACCUGCAAACACAUGAAUGUUGAAGAAAAUCUUCCCUCGUUGAGUUGUGCCAUGACUAAAGCUAUAAUAUUAUUAUUUUUGUUGUUGUUGUUAUUAUUAUUAUUACUGAGUUGAGGACUGAACUCAGGACCUUGUGAUUGCUUGGCAAGCUUUCUACCGCUGAGCUCAAUGCCCAGCCUCAUGUGACUGAAUUUAAAAAAUCAAACACCCUGUGCUAUGCUUUUAUAUAAGGACUCAUCUAAGCAGUGUCUAGAUUUCUAGCCACAGAAAAUGUGAGCUAGAAAGAGUGUGUUAAAUAUGUUGGGCUUUGGGGCAACUUGAUACACAGCAACAGUUGUGCAACUCUACUAAUUCCCACAUGACUGCUCUCCACUCCUUCGGACCAAAUAAGCUCUUCCAGAGAAGAUGGGCAGGAAUGCUUUAUUGACACAUCAGUUAUAAGAUCUUGAAGCUCCAGAGGAGAUGCCAAGAGGAUAAUGUUUUGAUGAGGUGGCACCCUUUAGAUUGCUUCCACCCUAUGCCUAAAAGGCUGUGAACAUCCCCUGGUUGGUUUUUCAAUAAUAGUUAGGGACCAUUGAGCAACUAGCUGGUUGGUGGUAUAAAGGCCAAAUUCUAAGCCACAGAAAUGGAGAGUCACACCACUAUCAACUGGGGCAUUUUUCUUCUUACAGCAAUUUUUGAUGUGAUGGGCACUCUGCUAUGGUAGGUGUGGCAGACCUCUUCUAUCCCAGAUACAACCUUCUGUCGUCCAUGUAAAACUGUAGGAAUUGUCCCCGGAGUUCUGGAGUCAUGAUCCUGCCUCUCAUUCAGUCUACAUCCUGACCAAGAGUUCCACACUAGUUUUAAGUUACCCUCUCCUCUCUUUGCUUCCUAUUUUCCCCUCUUUUCCUUACAGUACUGUGGUUUAAACUAACAUUCUUGAUUCCACCUAUUAUUUUUGACUUCAGCUACAACUGCCUUCACAAUAAAUCAAGAAAAAAGUCUAGAUUUAGCUUCAAGUUCUAACAUCUGGGAAAGGUCUUUAAUGGUGUCUCCCUCAAGGCUGAUAGCCCAAGCCUUUAUUAUCUCAGCCAUAGGCAAUAGUUGGAAAAUCCUACUUGGAAAUAUUUCAGCUGGUUCUUCCAUUUAAGAAACAUACCUUCUCAAGUUUAAAGUUUGAAGAGAAUCUCUAUAAUAGUCAUAGGAAUUCUUGCUUUUGUACACAUUGGGUAGAAUGAAUUUUAUUGCAUUUGUAGUUUCAAGGGUUUAUCCUUGUUGAUUAUUUCUAUUAACAUGUAUUAAUUGUGAUGAACAAAUGGGUUAUUGUGGCAUCUUUAUACAUGCAUGUAAUGUGCUUUGAUCACACUAACCUCUGCUCAUCUUCCCUCUACCCUUUCUCCUUCACAUGUGUGACAAACAUCUCUUUGUUUUCGUGUUCCUUGUUCUCCUGCUAGAUUCCACCCAGAAGAGAAUACAUGGAUAUCCAUCUCACUUGUUUCGCACAACCCAGUGAUUUCUAAUUUCAUCCAUUUAUUUUCCUGAAAAUGAUAGUCUAUUUUUUCCUUGUGGUUUAAUAAAACUUUACUACGGUGUGUGUGUGUGUGUGUGUGUGUGUGUGUGUGUGUGUGUGUGUGUGUGUGUGUGUGUGCGCGCGCGCGCAUGCACACUUUUUAAUCCAUUUAACUACCAAAGGGCAUGUAGGCAUGUUCCAUAACUGCAUACUAGCAUGUUCCAUACUGCAAGUAGCCAAGUGCUUAUUUUUUAGGCUCAAAAAUAAGUGAAGUGCUCCUCCUUGUGCCUUCAAGUGACAAUUGCUUCACACCUCCAACCUUCAACACCUUCUCCUCCCACAUUGCUUGGCGACUAUAAUUUACUGCACUGAGAACAUUAAAGCCUUUAGAAGAGGCUUCCACAGAGGCUCCCCUGUCAGCACCUGUACCAUGUCUUCUGUGUUUCCUGUGUAAAACCAAUCCUAGCAUCUCCUGGGCCCUAUGUCACAGGCACCAUUUUGCUCUUUCAGACAGUACCCGCAGCCACUCUUCCCUCCUCAGUGUCACAGCUGCCUCUCGCUCUUUUCUGGAUCCAUCUUAUGAGCAUACAGUUGGCCUGCCCUCUUCACACAGUGAGAUUUCUCCCCACCAGCUUUGUCUUCUCAUUCUUUUUCACAGGCUGCAACACAAAUCCUGAAAAGUGUAUCUAUACUCAUUAUCUCCAAUGUAUAUUGAUAUUUCUUAUUUCUGCUCUUUUUGCAAAUCCAUCUUUGAAAAUUGAUUUAUCAACAUCUUCCAUGACACCCAUGCUGUUCCAGCAUGUGCUUAGUCAUUAAUAUUUAUCUUUAUUGAGUGGCUAGCAUGGUGGACAUGGGUGCUCCUUUUUGACAUACUGUCUAUGAGUGGUUUGCUGUAUGCUUUGUACCCAUGGUCACCUUUACUUGAGCUGUUUGCUGGAUCUUCCUCCUCCCUCUUGAUAUACCAUUGGGAUAGGCUCAGUUCUCUCACCUAUUCAUCCACUCUUUUCCAAACCCCAUCCUGCCCUGUAACUAUAGCUACUUUUUAUGUGCCAGCAACGUGAAAAUUUAGAGGGCCACUUUCACACUCCAGAUUCCUGUAGCCAGCUGCCUACUUGGCACCUCCACUUGAAAGACAGAUCAUCUUCUUAGGCUGAAAGUCUCUCAAACUUCCUUAUUCCUGCCAAAGUCACAACAGCUGCAGACUACCUUUCCUUGAUAGCAAUUCCAUUUUAAAAGUCCCAGACCAGAAAGUUAUCCUUGAGUUUUCUUUGCCUUCUUCACAUCCAAGUAUCAGGAAGUAUUACAGUCUAUCUUUGCUAUCUGAAAUCUGAUCACUUCUCCUGGCUCUUCUCCAUCUUAGCUGUCACCAUCCAUUUUAUGAACCUCAGCAGUUACCUCCUGGCUGUUUUUUGCAGCCACCCUUGCAUCUAUUCCCCCAGCACCCCACCACAGACUGAUCAGACCUUUCAGAAGAUCAUAUCAUGUGAUUUUUGUAGUAUUCCAGAAUCUGCCCGUUAUACAUGCUAACUCUUCCAACAGCCUGUACCGUCUGCUCUGAUCAUUUCUAUAAUCUCCUUUGCAAUCCUUUACUUCUCUAAGUCCAAACACCAUAGAUUUCUCCCAGAAUUUGUAGUGGGAUUGACUGAGAUUAUCAUGCAGUAGCAAAGAAGACCAGGGCAGUUAUGCCAUUAGGUGCUGGUCCUUACAAAACGAUGUCAUUCAUCUCCAUAGUCUUCAUUUGCAACCUUAGACCCUUCAUAUGUUUUCCCCAAAUCUUCCCUUACCACAUAUUUAUCAUGAUUCUUCUUUCUGUUUUUUACUUUUCUUGCUUGUAAAAUUUGUAAAACUGGCUCAAACUGUUCCCUUCCUAUUAGGAUUGUGAAAAUAUGCAAUAUCCCACACAUCCAGCUUAUUUCAGAAAAUGGACCACACAAGAUAGCAUCUCGGACUAAAAGUACCAGCACAUCUCUUGUCCCUCACUAAUGCAACAAAGGCUUUUCCUUCAAGUGUUUCA